CUCUGAAGCGGCAUCCGAACCCACCAUCUGAAACCCCCAAAACGCGGCUCAAGCGGCCGAGCACACCGGUCUGGCACCCACUGCGCAUGCCCCGAACCCAUGACCAACGGGAGCCUGGAGCGCUGGAGCAGAGGCGGGGCUAUGUUAUUCUCCGAUCCCGUGCAGCUUCAAAGAACAGCAAGGACGAGAAUUCGGCCACCGACCAAUCAGAGCCCACGACAGUCCCCGGCGCCUAUUGCCAGCUCCCGUGCAUUGAGAGCUGUUUCGAAAAUAAGGAAUCGUGGGCGUGCCUUCACAACAAUCUGAACUGCCAUUACUAUCUCCACUUUAUGGAUGAGGGAACUGAGGCACUGAGAGGUUACCAGACUUGAAACAGCUGUAAAUGUUUAGUGAGUGCCAGAGAGUGGAGAGAUGCCUCGCGCACACAGCUCAAGGAACAUUGUCAACAUGAAUGAAUGAAGUGGCCUUCUAAGGAAAAGCAGGGUCUUGCCCUGAUGAACAGGCUGGAAGGGGCUCCAGGCCAGGAGGUAUGAAAUCACCUGGUGAGUUGGGGGCACCAUAAUCUGGAUUGCGAGUGGGGAGGCAGGGGAAGGUUGGAACUACCACAUCAGAAGGGGCUUGGAGCCCGGGCUUAGGAGAGAAGCUUGGAACCUGCAGGCAUGGGAGCCCUGCAGGUUUCCAGGGAGGACUGUGGGUCCCUCCUCGAGAUGCACUGUUUCCCCUCAGGUACCUGGGGAUGCCGGUCACAGCCUAGACGUGCUCAGACCCCCCAAGCUGUGUGCCUGAGAGCUUCAUGUCUCCAAACAGGAAACAGGCCCAGGGAGGGGUGAGGACUGAGAUGGCAUUCACCGGCAUUAUUAGAGCUACGCAAACCCUUAUAAUGCCCCAGUUCCCCCUUCUGAGAAUAUGGAUGCCUACGUGGACAAGGAGAUGUGUACAGGAGCGAACUGCCAACUGCAAGAGCCCAAAACAGCUCAGAUAUCGGUUAAUGGGAGAAUAUGAAUAAACAAAUUAUACAGUAACACAGGAGAAUACUAUAUAGUACUCGCUAACAACUAUCGUUCCUGGCAAAUAGGAAUCUUAGUAACAGUGCAGGCGUGGAACAUAGUGAUAAAAAAUAUACACUUUGCACCC